rnacentral:rRNA from 1 species
GAUGAACGCUGGCGGCGUGCCUAAUACAUGCAAGUCGAACGCUGAAGCUUGGUGCUUGCACCGAGCGGGUGAGUUGCGAACGGGUGAGUAACGCGUAGGUAACCUGCCUCUUAGCGGGGGAUAACUAUUGGAAACGAUAGCUAAUACCGCAUCAAAGUCGAUAUCGCAUGAUAUUGAUUUGAAAGGUGCCAAUGCCUCACUAAGAGAUGGAUCUGCGUUGUAUUAGCUAGUUGGUGAGGUAACGGCUCACCAAGGCGACGAUACAUAGCCGACCUGAGAGGGUGGUCGGCCACACUGGGACUGGAACACGGCCCAGACUCCUACGGGAAGCAGCAGUAGGGAAUCUUCGGCAAUGGGGGCAACCCUGACUGAGCAACGCCGCGUGAGUGAAGGAGGUUUUCGGAUCGGAAAGCUCUGUUGGAAGAGAAGAACGAGUGGGAGAGUGGAAAGUUCACACUGUGACGGUAACUUACCAGAAAGGGACGGCUAACUACGUG